rnacentral:rRNA from 1 species
UACAUGGGGUGCAAACGUUGCUCGGAAUUAUUGGGCGUAAAGCGCACGUAGGCGGUCGCUUAAGUCGGAUGUGAAAGCCCUCGGCUCAACUGAGGAAGUGCAUCCGAAACUGAGUGGCUAGAGUAUGGUAGAGGGUCGCGGAAUUCCCGGUGUAGAGGUGAAAUUCGUAGAUAUCGGGAGGAACACCAGUGGCGAAGGCGGCGACCUGGGUAGAUACUGACGCUGAGGUGCGAAAGCGUGGGGAGCAAACAGG